UACGAAGGGGGCUAGCGUUGCUCGGAAUCACUGGGCGUAAAGCGCACGUAGGCGGCUUUUUAAGUCAGGGGUGAAAUCCUGGAGCUCAACUCCAGAACUGCCCUUGAUACUGGCGGCCUUGAGUCCGGGAGAGGUGAGUGGAACUGCGAGUGUAGAGGUGAAAUUCGUAGAUAUUCGCAAGAACACCAGUGGCGAAGGCGGCUCACUGGCCCGGUACUGACGCUGAGGUGCGAAAGCGUGGGGAGCAAACAGG
rnacentral:rRNA from 1 species